rnacentral:rRNA from 1 species
CCCUUAGAUGCUCUGGGCCGCACGCGCGCUACACUGGUCGAUGCAACGAGUUUCUUUCCUUGGCCGACAGGCCUGGGCAAUCUUUGAACAUCGAUCGUGAUCGGGAUAGAUUCUUGUAAUUUUUGAUCUUAAACGAGGAAUUCCUAGUAAACGCAAGUCAUCAGCUUGCAUUGAUUACGUCCCUGCCCUUUGUACACACCGCCCGUCGCACCUACCGAUUGGAUGAUCCGGUGAGCUAUUCGGACUUUCGCAUUGUCGAUUUUCGGCUUUACGAGGGAAAGUCUCGCGAACCUUAUCAUCUAGAGGAAGGAGAAGUCGUAACA